UCCGGUGUAGCUCAAGCGGUAGAGCGGCGACACGUGCCACGUGCCGCACUUGCAGGUUCGACCCCCGCCACCGGAG
rnacentral:tRNA from 1 species